UGUUCUGUGGCAAAGUUGGUUAACGCAUCCUGUCUAGCGAAUUGGGGAGAUGUGGGUUCCAGUCCCAUCAGAACAA
rnacentral:tRNA from 1 species